AGCUUCCCCACGUGGACCCACUGCUCCCUGCUCCUCACAGGCCAGUCCUGCCAGCACUGACCCUUGUUUGUUGCGGCUUGUAAAAUACUACGCAGUCAUUUUCCUGUGGGUGUGUCUAUUCUCCUCCUGCCCUGUGCCCAGCUUCCCUGUUCAGCAAGGCUCUUCCCUGUUCAGCAAGGCAGGUUGGGGCCAGGACUGGGGAGGGGAGACAGCAAGGUGAGCAGCUCCUCCCCCGCCCCCCCCACCAGGGGCGGGGCUGAGGCCACAGAGGGCCGUCCAGUAAGGCUCCCACUUUCCUUCCUGUCACUUUUUGGGUAAAAGAUGGCUUGACACCUGCGAAAGGAAUGCCUCAGGGCCUUCUCGAUGGAGACGGAGCACAGUGAGCCUGGGGAGGAAGAGGAAGAACAGUUGAGUGGACCAGGCACAGGGUGUGGUGCCCGGGGUUGGUGUGGAGCAGGAGCACGCUGCCCAAGGGCCAUAUUUCCGCAGUAGCCCUUUUCAACAUCUCCUCAGCUGAGUUUCCUCCUGUCACAAGCAGAACGUAGCCCAGACGCAAAAAUCAGCAGCAGACGCUGACCAGAUGGCCCUGCUUUACCCCAGCCAAACUCCUCAGAGGCUUGAAAUGGUGGGGCGCCCUGUCGGUUUCGCUGGAGUAAGCUCUGUCUCCCCAUGGGAGGAGCAGCUCGUUCUCUCUCUGGACCACGAGCUCUGGGGAAGUCAGCUGCCACAUCACGAAGACACUCAAGAAGCCCUAUGAAGAGGUCUACAUGGUAAGGAGCUGAGUCCUCCUGCCAAAAGCCCUGUGAGUCAGCUUUCUUAGAAGUGGAUCCUCCAGCCUCAGUCAAGCCUUCAGAGACGACGUCCUGAGCUGACAUCUUCACUGCAACUUCAUGUACAAACCUGACCCAAAAAUCACCUCUUGCUAUGCUGGUUCAAAUUCCUGAGCCAUAGAAACUGUGAGACAAUAAUUGUUGUUUUCAGAUGCUAAGUUUUGGGAUAAUUUGUUACACAGAAAGAAAUAACUAAUAAUCCCCUCUAUCCUCUUGCUUUUCCAAGUUUAAUCCACUCUUCCCUCUUUCGUAUUCUCUGUGCACCAAAUAAUGGGGGAACAAAGGCAGGAUGUAGUAAGACAGAGGACUCCGGGGAACUGAGCCCCAAAAGGAAAGGUUCUCAAUGAACGUCUGUUGUACUGAAGGGGAAGAAAUGAAAGCUUGUCAGCAGCAUUCAUUCUUCACCUUGAAGCCCAUUCUUCACCUUGAAGCCCAGCCCCACAUUAUUUUACGCUUACUCUGGCUUCCCAGGCCCAGGUAGGGACUUUGACAGGAAGUAGGAAUUGGAGGGCAGGACACAC